UCAAAGUUACCAAUUAAGGUGGGAAAUAGUCUGUGUGGAGGAAGAAGGGGUUCAAGGAGCAGCAGGACAAUGAUUUCACGGAGUCCCUUGAGAGCUCAGAAUGAUGGGGCAACAGGAGGACACUGGGGGUAGGGUGGUCAAGACUGAGCACCAAGGAAGCCCCCACCUUACUCCGGUAUCUCCUCUGCUCUCCCACACGGCCUUCCUCUCACUGCUUUUCCCUAACACAAGGUAUAGGCUGCACCUCCAAACCUCUCUUCACACUACUCCUCCUGCCUUCUUCUCCCCGUUCUUUUCUCUGCCAAAUCCCCAUUGGGACAAGGCCAUGUGUCCUUCUUCCUGCAAUACUCAAGGGGAUUCCAACCUUUCCCCGACUGAUCUUAAGCUCAGGGCAGGCAAGAACUACAUCUGGGUCCUUCGCUUACAUCUUCCCUUCAUGGUCUGGCUCUGGGCUCCCACAGGUUCAAAGCAGCCUUUCUCUGCUAUGGUUCAAAGAAGCUUUCUAAAAGGAUGCUGGGAGUAUCCCAGCAGCAAGCAAUCUGCUGUUCCACAAAUGCCCGGAAGAGGGCGCCCUCGAACAACUCAGCAACAGAGACCGCUUUCCAAGGCCUUGGAGGGAGGCAGUACAGCUACCUGGAUAAACCAUCCUUUGUGUCCGGGUCAAAAUUGUGACAUGGACCCCAGAGAAAAGGCCUCAGCAUCCCUGUUGAAUACCCAGUCCUCUCACCUCUUCACCUUUUGAUCCUUUGGGUCCCGGCCGUCCCCGGGGUCCCGGAUGCCCCUGCAAACCAAGGAUAUCCAGGGUCCCCGGUCUCUCCACGGUCUCCUCGAUCACCUACAGGGCCCUGAAUGACAAGGACAACACCAAAAUAUGGGCCAUACUUUGCGAGACUCUCUGCAGCCUCACUACUGUUCAUCUGCCCCUGCCCUCAAACAGGAGGCCUGGACGCUACCUGAGACCUCACACAGCCCAGGAGGUGUAAGGAGCCUUACCCGAUCUCCAGGUGGCCCAGGGGGACCCUCAGCCUUGCCAUCCUCGCCCUGUUCCCCCUGUGGAUACAGAACCAGCUUUAGGCAAACAGCCCAUCCUGGGGAGCUGGGGGAAU